UAGGGAAUCUUCGGCAAUGGACGAAAGUCUGACCGAGCAACGCCGCGUGAGUGAAGAAGGUUUUCGGAUCGUAAAACUCUGUUGUUAGAGAAGAACAAGGACGUUAGUAACUGAACGUCCCCUGACGGUAUCUAACCAGAAAGCUACGGCUAACUACGUGCCAGCAGCCGCGGUAAUACGUAGGUGGCAAGUGUUGUCCGGAUUUAUUGGGCGUAAAGCGAGCGCCGGCGGUUUCUUAAGUCUGAUGUGAAAGCCCCCGGCUCAACCGGGGAGGGUCAUUGGAAACUCGGCGACUUGCGUGCAGAAGAGGAGAGUUGAAUUCCAUGUGUAGCGGUGAAAUGCGUAGUUAUAUGGAGGAACACCAGUGGCGAAGGCGGCUCUCUGGUCUGUAACUGACGCUGAGGCUCGAAAGCGUGGGGAGCAAACAGG
rnacentral:rRNA from 1 species